rnacentral:rRNA from 1 species
CAAUAGCGUAUAUUUAAGUUGUUGCAGUUAAAAAGCUCGUAGUUGGAUUUCGGAUGGGACUUGCCGGUCCGUCGUUUCGAUGUGCACUUGCCAGUCCUAUCUUGUUGUCGGGGACUAGCUCCUGGGCUUCACUGUCCGGGACUAGGAGCUGACGAGGUUACUUUGAGUAAAUUAGAGUGUUCAAAGCAAGCCUACGCUCUGAAUACAUUAGCAUGGAAUAACACGAUAGGACUCUGGCUUAUCUUGUUGGUCUGUGAGACCAGAGUAAUGAUUAAGAGGGACAGUCGGGGGCAUUCGUAUUUCAUUGUCAGAGGUGAAAUUCUUGGAUUUAUGAAAGACGAACUUCUGCGAAAGCAUUUGUCAAGGAUGUUUUCAUUAA